GCUGGGUGUGGUGGCGUAUGCCUGUAGUCCCAGCUACUUGGGAAGCUGAGGCAGGAGAAUUGCUUGAACCCGGGAGGUGGAGGUUGCAGUGGGCCAAGAUCACGCCACUGCACUCCAGCCUGGGUGACAGAGCGAGACUCCGUCUCCC
rnacentral:SRP_RNA from 2 species